GUGCCAGCCGCCGCGGUAACACGUAGGAGGCAAACGUUAUCCGGAUUUACUGGGCGUAAAGCGCGUGUAGGUGGUUCUGUAAGUAGGGCGUGAAAGCUCCUGGCCCAACUGGGAGAGGCCGUUCUAAACUGCAGAGCUAGAGGAUGGUAGAGGGGGGUGGAAUUCCGGGUGUAGCGGUGGAAUGCGCAGAUAUCCGGAGGAACACCAGUGGCGAAAGCGGCCUCCUGGACCAUUCCUGACACUCAGACGCGAAAGCUAGGGUAGCAAACGGGAUUAGAGACCCCGGUAGUCCUAGCCCUAAACGAUGUAGACUUGGCGUCGGUGGCUUAAUCGUCAUCGGUGUCGUAGCUAACGCGAUAAGUCUACCGCCUGGGGACUACGGCCGCAAGGUUAAAACUCAUAGGAAUUGACGGGUCCCCGCACAAGCAGCGGAGCGUGUGGUUUAAUUCGUUGCUACACGAAGAACCUUACCUGGGUUUGACAUAGCAGCGGUAGGAAUACGAAAGUGGACCGACCCUUCGGGGAGCUGUUACAGGUGUUGCAUGGCUGUCGUCAGCUCGUGUCGUGAGAUGUCCGGUUAAGUCCGCUAACGAGCGCAACCCUUGCCGUGUGUUACAAGUGUCACACGGGACCGCCGGUAUUAAGUCGGAGGAAGGUGAGGAUGACGUCAAGUCAGCAUGACCUUUAUAUCCAGGGCUACACACACGCUACAAUGGUCAGUACAAUAGGUUGCCAAGCCGCGAGGCGGAGCCAAUCCUAAAAAGCUGGCCUCAGUUCAGAUUGCAGGCUGCAACUCGCCUGCAUGAAGUUGGAGUUGCUAGUAACCGCAGGUCAGCUAUACUGCGGUGAAUACGUUCCCGGGGAUUGUACACACCGCCCGUCAAGUCAUGGGAGCUGGCAACACCUGAAGCCGGUAUCCUAACCCGCAAGGGAGGGAGCUGUCAAAGGUGGGGUCGGUGACUGGGACUAAGUCGUAACAAGGUAGCC
rnacentral:rRNA from 1 species